rnacentral:lncRNA from 1 species
CACUCACGGAGAUAGUCAAGUAGCCAGAAAAUCAGCCAUCUUUCAGUGAAUCUUGGACAAAAUAAUCAUUGGAUAACCAUGUCUUCUUUCUUUCUCCUAUACAGGGGUCCCACAGAGGCUGCAGCUGAGGUCUGGGUGUGUGCAAUUCUCAGCUGGGCUUUGCCCUACCCAGGUUGACGACUGAAGAAUCACAGAGUGUGGAAAAGAACACAAGGAGGAAUUGGUGAGAACAUCUAGCUAGCAUCUCCAAGUCCUGUGGAGGGAGCCAGCAGUGCUGGUCCAAAGAGGACCCAGAGAGUGAACUCAGAGUGACCACAUCUGAUAGAAGAGGGGAAGAUGUAGUUUCUGAGUCCAGUCCAGUGUUUGUGUCUCUCACAUUGUCAACAAAAGAAAGGCUCCAGCUGUCCCCACAGACAUAUGGAUAUUCCAGGAGCCACGUAAAGGUAAUGACCUGCCAGCCUUUCUGUGCCUGACAUAGGAAAGAUUUGUACAUUUGCCUUACAAGUUGUUCAUGUGAACAAGCAUAAACGUAUGUUU